GAUGUACGCUGGCGGCGUGCCUAAUACAUGCAAGUCGAGCGAACAGAUGAGGAGCUUGCUCCUCUGACGUUAGCGGCGGACGGGUGAGUAACACGUGGAUAACCUACCUAUAAGACUGGGAUAACUUCGGGAAACCGGAGCUAAUACCGGAUAAUAUAUUGAACCGCAUGGUUCAAUAGUGAAAGACGGUUUUGCUGUCACUUAUAGAUGGAUCCGCGCCGCAUUAGCUAGUUGGUAAGGUAACGGCUUACCAAGGCAACGAUGCGUAGCCGACCUGAGAGGGUGAUCGGCCACACUGGAACUGAGACACGGUCCAGACUCCUACGGGAGGCAGCAGUAGGGAAUCUUCCGCAAUGGGCGAAAGCCUGACGGAGCAACGCCGCGUGAGUGAUGAAGGUCUUCGGAUCGUAAAACUCUGUUAUUAGGGAAGAACAAAUGUGUAAGUAACUAUGCACGUCUUGACGGUACCUAAGCAGAAAGCCACGGCUAACUACGU
rnacentral:rRNA from 1 species